GGAUUGCUCAGUUGGUACAGCAUGAGACUCUUAAUCUCACGGGUCAUGGGUUCGAAUCCCACGUUGGGCA